rnacentral:rRNA from 1 species
GACAGAGGUCCCGAGCGUUAGGCGGAAUCACUGGGCUUAAAGCGUGUGUAGGCGGAUUUGUAAGUACCUUGUGAAAUCCCACAGCUUAACUGUGGAACUGCUUGGUAUACUGCUUAUCUUGGGCCACUUAGGGGUUACCGGAACAAACGGUGGAGCGGUGAAAUGCGUAGAUAUCGCUUGGGACGCCGAAGGUGAAAACAGGCUGCUGGGGUUGCGCCGACGCUGAGACACGAAAGCCAGGGGAGCAAACGGG